rnacentral:rRNA from 1 species
GCUAUUCCCUAAGAUUAACCCAUGCAUGUUUCUGACAUUUGAAAAAUGGACUGCUCAGUAAUACUCACUUUAUUUUAUGUAAAUUUUUAAUUAACUACGUUAAAGUGUAGAUAAGAUGUUUACAGUAAGAGUGAGACCUAUCAGCUAGUUGUUAAGGUAAUGGCUUAACAAGGCUGUGACGGGUAACGGUAUUACUUUGUAAUAUUCCGGAGAAGGAGCCUGAGAGACGGCUACUAAGUCUAAGGAUUGCAGCAGGGGCGAAACUUGACCUAUGGAUUUUAUCUGAGGCAGUUAUGGGAAGUAAUAUUAUAUUGUUUCAUAUUUUAAAAGUAUAUGAGGUGAUUAAUUGGAGGGCAAAUCAAGUGCCAGCA